rnacentral:piRNA from 1 species
UCUCCACUUUGCCUUUGGUUUUGAAAGAU